UGCCGGCGUGGCGAGCGUCCUGCAUAUUCCUACGCCUUCCCAGAGUCCUUUGGGCCGUUACUGGGGAGACAAACCAUGCAGGACACAGAA
rfam:Poecilia formosa, whole genome shotgun sequence.